AAUAAGACCACAUAAUUUUAAAGUUAGCAAAUAUCAGUGACCAUUGAAAAGAGAUUUGAACAAGAGUUCCCAGAACAAAAAUGAUGUUUUCUUAGGUAGUUCUACCACCUGAGGGUCAUCCUAUCAACAGGGAAAUAAGUUCAACUUUGUCAUAAAUUUUAGAAUUCUACCAAACAAAGGAGAAUUAUUAAGUGGACUCUUCCUCUGGUAAAUCAUUCUAAGUGAGGCUUCCUAACAUCUUACUAGCCUAGGAUUAAUAUCAGCCCAUUUUUUGGAGGAGAACCAACAAGACUGGCUAUUUGACUGGAUCCCCCAAUUGGUUUACUCCAAGAUUCCUCUUCAUUGGCUUAAGAAGAUACAAGACAGGAGUCUCCAAUCCUUAGACCAUGGACCAAUAUCAACCAUGGCCAGUUAGCAACCCGGUAACAAAGCAGGAGCAGCCCUGAGAAGUAAAUACUGUUGCUGUCAUCCCUAUUUUACAAAUGAGGAAACAAAAAUAGAGAAAUGAAGCAAUUUGUCCAAGAUCACUCUGCUGGCAAGCAACAGAACCAGGAGUUUAACCCAGAUCAUAGCAGAGAACAAACAAGGAGGAGGAAGAACAGGAGGAGGAGGGGGAAAAGAGGAGGAAGA
rnacentral:lncRNA from 1 species